GACGAACGCUGGCGGCGUGCUUAACACAUGCAAGUCGAACGGAAAGGCCCUGCUUUUGUGGGGUGCUCGAGUGGCGAACGGGUGAGUAACACGUGAGUAACCUGUCCUUGACUUUGGGAUAACUUCAGGAAACUGGGGCUAAUACCGGAUAGGAUCUCCUGCUGCAUGGUGGGGGUUGGAAAGUUUCGGCGGUUGGGGAUGGACUCGCGGCUUAUCAGCUUGUUGGUGGGGUAGUGGCUGACCAAGGCUUUGACGGGUAGCCGGCCUGAGAGGGUGACCGGGCACAUGGGGACUGAGAUACGGCCCAGACUCCUACGGGAGGCAGCAGUGGGGAAUAUUGCACAAUGGGCGGAAGCCUGAUGCAGCAACGCCGCGUGCGGGAUGACGGCUUUCGGGUUGUAAACCGCUUUCGCCUGUGACGAAGCGUGAGUGACGGUAAUGGGUAAAGAAGCACCGGCUAACUACGUG
rnacentral:rRNA from 1 species